GACGAACGCUGGCGGCGUGCUUAACACAUGCAAGUCGAACGAUGAACCGGUUUCGGCCGGGGAUUAGUGGCGAACGGGUGAGUAACACGUGGGCAAUCUGCCCUGCACUCUGGGAUAAGCCCGGGAAACUGGGUCUAAUACCGGAUACGACACUCCGAGGCAUCUUGGGGUUUGGAAAGUUCCGGCGGUGCAGGAUGAGCCCGCGGCCUAUCAGCUUGUUGGUGGGGUAAUGGCCUACCAAGGCGACGACGGGUAGCCGGCCUGAGAGGGUGACCGGCCACACUGGGACUGAGACACGGCCCAGACUCCUACGGGAGGCAGCAGUGGGGAAUAUUGCACAAUGGGCGAAAGCCUGAUGCAGCGACGCCGCGUGAGGGAUGACGGCCUUCGGGUUGUAAACCUCUUUCAGCAGGGAAGAAGCGAAAGUGACGGUACCUGCAGAAGAAGCACCGGCUAACUACGUG
rnacentral:rRNA from 1 species